GCUCCAGUGGCGCAAUUGGUUAGCGCACGGUACUUAUAAGACAGUGUACGUGUGAGUAAUGCCGGGGUUGUGAGUUCGAGCCUCACCUGGAGCA
rnacentral:tRNA from 2 species